rnacentral:rRNA from 1 species
AACGAACGCUGGCGGCAGGCUUAACACAUGCAAGUCGAACGCAUCCUUCGGGGUGAGUGGCAGACGGGUGAGUAACGCGUGGGAACGUGCCCUUCAGUUCGGGAUAACCCAGGGAAACUUGGGCUAAUACCGGAUACGUGCGAGAGCAGAAAGAUUUAUCGCUGAAGGAUCGGCCCGCGUCUGAUUAGCUAGUUGGUGGGGUAAUGGCCCACCAAGGCGACGAUCAGUAGCUGGUCUGAGAGGAUGAUCAGCCACAAUGGGACUGAGACACGGCCCAAACUCCUACGUGAGGAAGCAGUGGGGAAUAUUAGACAAUGGGCGCAAGCCUGAUCCAGCCAUGCCGCGUGAGUGAUGAAGGCCUUAGGGUUGUAAAGCUCUUUCGUCCGGGACGAUAAUGACGGUACCGGAAGAAGAAGCCCCGGCUAACUUCGUGCCAGCAGCCGCGGUAACAC